rnacentral:rRNA from 1 species
GACGAACGCUGGCGGCGUGCUUAACACAUGCAAGUCGAGCGGUAAGGCCCUUUCGGGGGUACACGAGCGGCGAACGGGUGAGUAACACGUGGGUGACCUGCCCUCAGCUCUGGGAUAAGCCCGGGAAACUGGGUCUAAUACCGGAUAUGACUCCAUGACGCAUGUUGUGGGGUGGAAAGCCUUGUGCGGCUGAGGAUGGGCCCGCGGCCUAUCAGCUUGUUGGUGGGGUGAUGGCCUACCAAGGCGACGACGGGUAGCCGGCCUGAGAGGGCGACCGGCCACACUGGGACUGAGACACGGCCCAGACUCCUACGGGAGGCAGCAGGUGGGGAAUCUUGCGCAAUGGGCGAAAGCCUGACGCAGCGACGCCGCGUGAGGGAUGACGG